rnacentral:tRNA from 1 species
GCAACGGUGGUCUAGCGGUCAGAACGCUGGGCUUCUGAUCCUGGGGUCCCGGGAUCGAUUCCCGGUGGUGCC